rnacentral:lncRNA from 1 species
GAGGAAAUGCUUAAGAAAAUACAGCUUCUUGUUAGUCCUUCGCUGUCAAGGUUAGAAGUAAUGCAAAUUUAUAUGAUAAGUUCUAUUUAAUUUCUCUUUACUAAAUAUAUAAACUAUGUAGCAUUUGCUAUCUAACUUUGCAUUUUUUUAAUAAUGUAGCAGAGAAAGAACUCCAACAACUCCAACAGAGUGCCAACUUUAGGUAUAUUUCUAUUUCACCUACUAAAACUUCAUGUUUAACGAGAUUUUAUAGUUUAUACCAAAUCUGUUAUUUAUAUUAUAAUAGAUAAGUACCUUGAAAUAUAUAUUACUAUAGUUUUUCA